UAGGGAAUUUUCCACAAUGGGCGAAAGUCUGAUGGAGCAACGCCGCGUGAGUGAAGAAGGUCUUCGGAUCGUAAAGCUCUGUUGUUGGUGAAGAAGGAUAGAGGCAGUAACUGGUCUUUAUUUGACGGUAAUCAACCAGAAAGUCACGGCUAACUACGUGCCAG
rnacentral:rRNA from 1 species